CAGCAGCCGCCGCGGUAAUACAGAGGGUGCGAGCGUUAAUCGGAUUUACUGGGUGUAAAGCGUGCGUAGGCGGCUUCUUAAGUCGGAUGUGAAAUCCCUGAGCUUAACUUAGGAAUUGCAUUCGAUACUGGGAAGCUAGAGUAUGGGAGAGGAUGGUAGAAUUCCAGGUGUAGCGGUGAAAUGCGUAGAGAUCUGGAGGAAUACCGAUGGCGAAGGCAGCCAUCUGGCCUAAUACUGACGCUGAGGUACGAAAGCAUGGGGAGCAAACAGGAUUAGAUACCCCCGUAGUCCCUGUCUCUUAUAC
rnacentral:rRNA from 1 species